GUAAUUGUUGUUUUGCACAUAAUUAAGUGUGACUAAGAUGUGUUGCUUUGAGAAAUGCGUGGUGUGUCUCAAUGUCGGAUGUCUGAUAUAAGUAUCGAUGCAUGAGGGGCUACACACAUACUUGUUACAGUAGACGCGGUAAGUGACCUGCUAUGUUGAAUGUCUGCUCUGCUUUAAGGGCAUAGAGUGGUUAGAGUUCAAUUCAAAUCUAAUAUUUUCUUUCAGGUUAUUCCGAAGAAAUGCAGCUCUUGUGUAUCGCAGCUUUACUUUUGUCAGCAGUAGCUGCUCAGCCAGAUUCCUGGAGGCCAUGGCGGGAUGAAACGUUUCCGCCUGCAGGUGGACCCAGGCUGGAUGCAGACUCUAAGCGUGGUGACGACGAGCAGUCGGUGACACCAGAAGAUGGAGACGGGCAAGAGGGAGACUCAGUAUGGGCUCAUGGUGUCCCUCUUCCUGAGGCCGGCAGGCAAUUCUGGAAACACAGAGGAUCUUCAAAUGGCAACAAGCCCAACAGGAGGAACCCCGGUGAACUUGUAAGCUCACAAUGACACUAUGGCCGUACUCAAAUGAAAAAAGAAAGACAGAAGUGUAACUGAUUGGGUUUCUACCUGAUUAAAGUCUUUAGUUCACUCCUGACAAGGCAUGCUGGAAGGUGCAUACACUGUGCCCUCCUCCUAUUUCUAUUCAUUUUAUAUAUUUACGUCUGUUGCUUUUGUCUUUUAUUGUGAAGCAUUAUUUAAUGUCUGCUUUUGAAAGUUGCUCCAAAAACUCACCUUAAACAUCAGUAUUGUUACGACUUAUGAUUAAAUAUGAUAUACGAU
rnacentral:lncRNA from 1 species